rnacentral:rRNA from 1 species
UCAAAACGACUCUCGGCAACGGAUAUCUCGGCUCUCGCAUCGAUGAAGAACGUAGCGAAAUGCGAUACUUGGUGUGAAUUGCAGAAUCCCGUGAACCAUCGAGUCUUUGAACGCAAGUUGCGCCCGAAGCCAUUAGGCCNAGGGCACNUCUGCCUGGGCGUCAC